rnacentral:rRNA from 1 species
CUUUGGACCAAUGAUGUUCAAGUUUGUAUCAAGUUCUCUAAUCACUUUCUUAUCUUAGUUGUGGUUGUAGAUGCUUCUACCCAUGUGGAGUUUGCUUUGGUAUGUGUUUAUGGAGAUCCGCACCACCGCCAGACUCGGUUAAUUUGGGACCAUAUUUCCACUUUUGUGCAUGAUAACUUAGGAAAGCCUGCUGUUUGUUUGGGUGAUCUUAAUAAUAUCAUGUGUGAUAUAGACACUACUUCAGUUAAUGUUAAUAGGUAUCAGAUGCGUGCUUUCAACACCUAUGUUAAGCAAUGUGGUCUUUUUGAUCUCGGAUAUAGUGGUCUGGCUUAUACUUGGACGAAUAAGCAAUUUUCUUCAAAUCCUGUGUUUGAAAGGCUAGAUCGAUGCCUUGUCAAUGCUGAAUGGUGUGGUCGGUUUCCCAACACCAAGGUUUUCAAGUUGCCAAUUAUUCUUAGUGACCAUGCUCCUAUUUUGGUAACCACUGAAUCUCAAUUUCGUAGGCCGAAGCUCCAUUUUAAAUUUGAAAACUGGUGGACAUUUGAAGAUGAUUUCCAAGACGUGGUGACAAAUGCUUGGAACUCUUUUGUUAAUAAGCCUUUCCAUGCCAGGACGACUAACCUUGCAGGAGCAAUAAAGAGGUGGUGUAAAAACAAGAAACCCAUACAGCAACAAAUAGACACAAUUCGAGAACAGAUCAUGCUUGUACAUAUGUAA